UACCAGCACCCCGAGUGGUCGGGACGUUUAUUGGGCCUAAAGCAUCCGUAGCCGGUUCUACAAGUCUUCCGUUAAAUCCACCUGCUUAACAGAUGGGCUGCGGAAGAUACUAUGGAGCUAGGAGGCGGGAGAGGCAAGCGGUACUCGAUGGGUAGGGGUAAAAUCCGUUGAUCCAUUGAAGACCACCAGUGGCGAAGGCGGCAUUCUGGACCAUUACUGACGCUGAGGAGCGAAAGCCAGGGGAGCAAACGGG
rnacentral:rRNA from 1 species